rnacentral:rRNA from 1 species
GCAUAUCAAUAAGCGGAGGAAAAGAAACCAACAGGGAUUGCCUCAGUAACGGCGAGUGAAGCGGCAACAGCUCAAAUUUGAAAUCUGGCCCCCCAGGCCCGAGUUGUAAUUUGCAGAGGAUGCUUUGGGCGCGGCGCCUUCCGAGUUCCCUGGAACGGGACGCCACAGAGGGUGAGAGCCCCGUCUGGUUGGAUGCCUAGCCUAUGUAAAGCUCCUUCGACGAGUCGAGUAGUUUGGGAAUGCUGCUCUAAACGGGAGGUAUAUGUCUUCUAAAGCUAAAUAUUGGCCAGAGACCGAUAGCGCACAAGUAGAGUGAUCGAAAGAUGAAAAGCACUUUGAAAAGAGGGUUAAAUAGUACGUGAAAUUGUUGAAAGGGAAGCGCUUACGACCAGACUUGGGCCCGGCGGAUCACCCGGCGUUCUUCGCCGGGGCACUCCGCCGGCCCAGGCCAGCAUCGGUUCGCCUUGGGGGACAAAGGCGGCGGGAACGUAGCUCCCUCGGGAGUGUUAUAGCCCGCCGUGUAAUACCCUGCGGCGGACCGAGGACCGCGCAUCUGCAAGGAUGCUGGCGUAAUGGUCGCCAGCGACCCGUCUUGAAACACGGACCAAGGAGUCGUCUUCGUAUGCGAGUGUUCGGGUGCAAAACCCCUACGCGUAAUGAAAGUGAACGCAGGUGAGAGCUUCGGCGCAUCAUCGACCGAUCCUGAUGUUCUCGGAUGGAUUUGAGUAGGAGCAUACGGGGCCGGACCCGAAAGAAGGUGAACUAUGCCUGUAUAGGGUGAAGCCAGAGGAAACUCUGGUGGAGGCUCGCAGCGGUUCUGACGUGCAAAUCGAUCGUCAAAUAUGGGCAUGGGGGGCGAAAGACUAAUCGAACCUUCUAGUAGCUGGUUUCCGCCGAA